AAAUAACCAUUUAACAUAAUAUACAUUUUAAAUAUCUAUGUCACUUGAACCCUACUGUAGAAUGAGUGAACAUAUAUGCAAGUCCAAACUGAACUCUACCUGCAGAAUUUCCAAGUAACAGAUCAGAACAAGAAAUUGACAUCAAUCCAACACCAAUCGGGCCCCGUUAACAUGUAUCAAACGCACCAACCAGCUCAAAAUCUCCCAAAUUUGGCAUCUUGCAAGUUUUCAUUUCGACAAUAAAUAACAAAUCCAACCGAAAAUCAAAUCUGAGCUGGCUCUAGAACUUCUCCCACAUUCAUUUAACAGAACCACUGCAAUUCAUUUACAAAGCCACAAUUUGGAAUCCACUUUGUGCAUUUCAAUUUCAAUUUCAUUUUAAUCUAUAACUAACAAUUUUCAUUUCUAACAAACUGAUUAAUUUGUGGUGAAUUUCAGAUGAGUUUGAGAUGAAUUUCUAACCAAUUUUGGAAUGCUAUAAAUAAUACUUCACCUUCCAAUCUUCUGCAUUUUUUUCAAUUCUUUGAUCUCUUUCUUAACUCUUCAUUUCGUUCCUCAAUCUUCUUGCAAUUACAAUCUCAAAUUCCUUUCUAUAAUUCCAUCGUCAAUCUCCACUUCUGCACCAGUUUUCCGCAGUUCCGCACCAAUCCUGCACCAGAAAAAUCCUUUCAUCCAUUCUUCACUUCUGAACCUUACGAUCGAUUGACUGUAACUUCACAACUGCAACGCAUCACCUUCCAUCUUCAUCCUCUGCCAACCUCCUCAUCAUUCUCCAAGGACCUGCAACAUAAAUUCGUAAAACAGAAUGUUGCGAAAAUCCAUCUUCCAAGGGACCUUCUUCUUCUAACCACCAAGAACGACCUCAAAACUUCAACCUCGUAACAAUGCCGCUUCAACAACCUAACUAGAUUAACCAGCUGCAAACAAAAGAACGACCACUCAAACAGAGGAAACGGAAAAUAGAGUAGGCAGAAGGAGAGAAAGUGCAGAAUCAAGGAAAGACAAAUUACAUGGAGCCUCGUUCGAAUCUGGUAAGUAAUGCUUCUUCUAUUUUGUUAUGCAUUCAUUUCUGAUCCGAUUUCGUUUCAACGUUGAAAUCUCUUGUGGACUCACCGUUAUUCUGGUUUUUUCUGGGUAAGAGGAGUCAAUCCAUCGCCGCUUCGUUGAGGUCCCCCUAAGCACGUCAAAUCAUUCUUGGCAAAUCAAAUCAUUCUUGGCAAGGGCGUUUUAAUGGAGACCGUGUGGUUGAGGUGUAAGCAAGCAAACCUAAAUCGGAGUCGUGAUUGACCUGUUGUUCACGCCAGAUGAAAACCCCUAACCUCUCGGAGGUUUCGCAUUCCGAUGAGGAUGAACAUCACGAUUUCGUUCUUGGGAACGUGAAUGGUUUGGAUAGGAAACCGGAGUUCAUGUUGGUAGGCGUAUGCGGGAUGAGGAGUUUCUACCUAAUUAAGCAUGAGCGAACGGGGGCAUGGAUCUGGACAGUGUUAUACCUGGUUUAGGUUUUUUGAGACUUGGGCAGAAGACCCUAAGCAAACAAACCUAUGGUUCAGUGCCCUAUCUUCAUUCUGCACACCCUCAUAGUCUCAUAAUCCCUUAUUAAUCACACUUAUUUCAUUUUAAUUCUAGUUUUUUUUAUUAAUUUUAGUGAUUUUGUUUCGGUUUAGAAUUUUUUACAAAAA
rnacentral:lncRNA from 1 species